rnacentral:rRNA from 1 species
AGAGUUUGAUCAUGGCUCAGGACGAACGCUGGCGGCGUGCCUAAUACAUGCAAGUCGAGCGCAGGAAGCCGUCUGAACCCUUCGGGGGGACGACGGUGGAAUGAGCGGCGGACGGGUGAGUAACACGUAAAGAACCUGCCCAUAGGUCCGGGAUAACCACGAGAAAUCGGGGCUAAUACCGGAUGUGUCAUCGGACCGCAUGGUCCGCUGAUGAAAGGCGCUCCGGCGUCGCCCAUGGAUGGCUUUGCGGUGCAUUAGCUAGUUGGUGGGGUAACGGCCCACCAAGGCGACGAUGCAUAGCCGACCUGAGAGGGUGAUCGGCCACACUGGGACUGAGACACGGCCCAGACUCCUACGGGAGGCAGCAGUAGGGAAUCUUCCACAAUGGACGAAAGUCUGAUGGAGCAACGCCGCGUGAACGAUGAAGGCUUUCGGGUCGUAAAGUUCUGUUGUAAGGGAAGAACAAGUGCCGCAGGCAAUGGCGGCACCUUGACGGUACCUUGCGAGAAAGCCACGGCUAACUACGUGCCAGCAGCCGCGGUAAUACGCAGGUGGCAAGCGUUGUCCGGAAUUAUUGGGCGUAAAGCGCGCGCAGGCGGCCUCUUAAGUCUGAUGUGAAAGCCCCCGGCUCAACCGGGGAGGGCCAUUGGAAACUGGGAGGCUUGAGUAUAGGAGAGAAGAGUGGAAUUCCACGUGUAGCGGUGAUAUGCGUAGAGAUGUGGAGGAACACCAGUGGCGAAAGGCGACUCUUUGGGCCUAUAACUGACGCUGAGGCGCGAAAGCGUGGGGAGCAAACAGGAUUAGAUACCCUGGUAGUCCACGCCGUAACGAUGAGUGCUAGGUGUUGGAGGGUUCCGCCCUUCAGUGCUGAAGCUAACGCAUUAAGCACUCCGCUGGGGAGUACGUCGCAAGCUGAACUCAAGGAUGACGGGACCCGCACAGCGGUUGAAGCAUGUGAUAUCGAGCACGCGAGACCUAAACUCUUGACAUCCCCCUGACCGGUACAGAGAUGUACCUUCCCCUUCGGGGGCAGGGGUGACAGGUGGUGCAUGGUUGUCGUCAGCUCGUGUCGUGAGAUGUUGGGUUAAGUCCCGCAACGAGCGCAACCCUUGUCCUUAGUUGCCAGCAUUUGGUUGGGCACUCUAGGGAGACUGCCGGUGACAAACCGGAGGAAGGUGGGGAUGACGUCAAAUCAUCAUGCCCCUUAUGAGUUGGGCUACACACGUGCUACAAUGGACGGUACAAAGGGCAGCGAAGCCGCGAGGUGGAGCCAAUCCCAGAAAGCCGUUCUCAGUUCGGAUUGCAGGCUGCAACUCGCCUGCAUGAAGUCGGAAUCGCUAGUAAUCGCAGGUCAGCAUACUGCGGUGAAUACGUUCCCGGGUCUUGUACACACCGCCCGUCACACCACGAGAGUUUGCAACACCCGGAGUCGGUGAGGUAACCGUAAGGAGCCAGCCGCCGAAGGUGGGGCAGAUGAUUGGGGUGAAGUCGUAACAAGGUAGCCGUA